AAUUUCAGAUUAAUUCCAGGAGUUGACAAUUGAGAAGAAUACUAUGGAUGUUUUUAUAUAUUCCUCCAUGUGAAUUUUUGACACACUUUAUUUCAAUACAUACAUCAGAGGAGAAUUCUUGAGUCAUGAGGAAAUAUGCAGUCAGAGGACCCAACUAUCCUGCUUUUAUCUUUCAUUUAUUUUUAAUGUAUGUUUUCUCUGUAUUUUUAAAAUUGGCUUUUUUUCUCUAAUAUUUUGAAACCAUUUUCCUAAUUCAUUUUCAAUACUGUUUUUCCCAUAAAUGAAUCCAAAUCUGCCUAUUUUUCUUAGUAAAGUUAACCAUAGCCCAGAGACUUCAAA